CGGGCAUCUGCAGAGUUCACUCAGUUUGUUUUCAGUCACGGUAGCUGCGAAUCAACCCAUCAAUUGAUCGUCCGUUUAUUUUCACUGAGAAUCUUUGAGCAACAGAAAUGGAUGGCGAAGACGGAGAUAAUACAGUCUGCACAAGUAAUGAAAGAGGUACCUAUCAAAAAGCCAUUGGGUAUCAU